UCACUUACCUGGAUGGGGUCGACUCUUUAUCAAGAAGACAAGUGGCCUAGGGUAAUGACUUUCAUUGUACUAAAGGCCUAAGGUCUUUCUCAAGUGGAAGAGCCUACUUCAUCAUUUGUGGCAGAGGGGGUUUGCUUGGCCUGUC
rnacentral:snRNA from 1 species